rnacentral:misc_RNA from 1 species
GAUGAAGAACGUAGCGAAAUGCGAUAAGUAGUGUGAAUUGCAGAAUUCAGUGAAUCAUCGAAUCUUUGAACGCACAUUGCGCCCUUCGGUAUUCCGUCGGGCAUGCCUGUUCGAGCGUCAUUUCAACCCUCAGGCCCCCAGUGCCUGGUGUUGGGGAUCGGCCCAGCCUUCCUGUAAGGCCGCCGGCCCCGAAAUCUAGUGGCGGUCUCGCUGUAGUCCUCCUCUGCGUAGUAGCACAACCUCGCAGUUGGAACGCGGCGGUGGCCAUGCCGUUAAACACCCCACUUCUGAAAGUUGACCUCGGAUCAGGUAGGAAUACCCGCUGAACUUAAGCAUAUCAAUAAGCGGAGGA